GACGAACGCUGGCGGCGUGCUUAACACAUGCAAGUCGAACGGAAAGGCCCUGCUUUUGUGGGGUGCUCGAGUGGCGAACGGGUGAGUAACACGUGAGUAACCUGCCCUUGACUUUGGGAUAACUUCAGGAAACUGGGGCUAAUACCGGAUAGGAGCUCCUGCUGCAUGGUGGGGGUUGGAAAGUUUCGGCGGUUGGGGAUGGACUCGCGGCUUAUCAGCUUGUUGGUGGGGUAGUGGCUUACCAAGGCUUUGACGGGUAGCCGGCCUGAGAGGGUGACCGGCAACAUUGGGACUGAGAUCCGGCCCAGACUCCUACGGGAGGCAGCAGUGGGGAAUAUGGCACAAUGGGCGGAAGCCUGAUGCAGAAACGCCGCGUGCGGGAUGACGGCCUUCGGGUUGUAAACCGCUUUCGCCUGUGACGAAGCGUGAGUGACGGUAAUGGGUAAAGAAGCACCGGCUAACUACGU
rnacentral:rRNA from 1 species